ensembl:lncRNA
CCCAAAGUUAAAAUAGGAAAUGUUUAUUUUGGCUCACAGUUUUUAAAGAUUUCAGUCCAUAAAUGGCUGGCUCCAAGGCAGGGUGAUAAAACAGACAGGCAUUGGAGAGGAGAAAGAGUUGAUGACAGGCAGAAGACAAGGCAGAAGGGACCAAGACAAGGGAGACUCCAGGAAAUCAAGAAAACUGCCAGUAUCACACAGCUCAGUGAUGGAACAAAUGUGAUUUGAAUGAGAUAUUCCAAAGGCUAUCAAAGUACGUCAUGGCUUUAACACAGCCUCCUGAAGAAUAGUUUUAAGAUUCUCUUCUUUCCAUUGUUGCAGAAGUGGAAGUAGCUCAAUGUAAUUAAGAACAGAGCAAUUCUUAAAAAAUUCAGUCUAGAGGUUUUAAUAAUUUCCACAUAUGGCCCCUCUACCUUUCAGUGUCUUCCAAACAUAAGGCUUCUAUUGUUUAUGGUUCAUUAUUAUCAGGAAUCAAAGUUGAAAUAUUGGAGAACAAGGGAGGGAAAUUACAGAUAGCUCAAAGGCAAUGUAGAAUGAAAGGUAGGGAAAAGACAAAUCCCAUGACAUGGGAGACCAAAACAUGCAGAAUGUAAUUGAUGGCACCAUUUAGGCAUCAGAAGGUUUCAAACAACACUGGAGCAUUCUGUGUUACUACAACACUAAUGGCAAUGCUUAAGUGAGUAAUGUACAGAUGCCAUUAUGUUUUCUUCUCAGUUGACUAGUGCAGGUAUUUUCUCAUCCAAGUACUAAUACUGCAUAACCCUGAUUAGCUUCUGAAAUCAGAUAAGGUAAGACAAGAUGCUUUCCAGUUGUUUUGGUCAUUGACUAGUGCAGGUAUUUUAAGUUUUAUUAGUAUGGAAAAUUAAAUUUAGUGUAGACACUGUUACAUAAUGCUAUAUCACUCACAAUUAGUAUUCUAAUAAUUUACAGAGAAUUUCUACAUCCAUUAUAACCCUUUUGAUUACCCAUUUCCAUUGCCAAAAAUGAGAAUAUUCCACUUCAGGGCUGAGAACUGGGCUAUGGUAACUCAACUCAGUACUUUGGCCAAGGACACACAGACA